GGCCGGAUGGCUUAGUGGUCAGAGCGUCUGCCUAGUAAGCAGGAGACCCGAGUUCGCAUCCCGGUCCGACACA